AUUGUACGCUGGCGGCAUGCCUUACACAUGCAAGUCGAACGGCAGCACGGGAGCAAUCCUGGUGGCGAGUGGCGAACGGGUGAGUAAUAUAUCGGAACGUGCCCAGUAGUGGGGGAUAACUGCUCGAAAGAGCAGCUAAUACCGCAUACGACCUGAGGGUGAAAGGGGGGGAUCGCAAGACCUCUCGCUAUUGGAGCGGCCGCUAUCAGAUUAGCUAGUUGGAGGGGUAAAGGCCUACCAAGGCAACGAUCUGUAGUUGGUCUGUGAGGACGACCAGCCAAACUGGGACUGGGACACGGCCCAGACUCCUACGGGAGGCAGCAGUGGGGAAUUUUGGACAAUGGGCGCAAGCCUGAUCCAGCAAUGCCGCGUGCAGGAAGAAGGCCUUCGGGUUGUAAACUGCUUUUGUCAGGGAAGAAAUCCUCUAGGUUAAUACCCUUGGGGGGAUGACGGUACCUGAAGAAUAAGCACCGGCUAACUACGUGCCAGCAGCCGCCGUAACAC
rnacentral:rRNA from 1 species